rnacentral:tRNA from 1 species
GGUGGCUUGGUGGUAGAGUGCUUGCCUUGCAUGCAUGAGGCCCUGAGUUUGAUUCCUCAGCACCA